rnacentral:rRNA from 1 species
UAGGGAAUCUUCGGCAAUGGACGAAAGUCUGACCGAGCAACGCCGCGUGAGUGAAGAAGGUUUUCGGAUCGUAAAACUCUGUUGUUAGAGAAGAACAAGGACGUUAGUAACUGAACGUCCCCUGACGGUAUCUAACCAGAAAGCCACGGCUAACUACGUGCCAGCAGCCGCGGUAAUACGUAGGUGGCAAGCGUUGUCCGGAUUUAUUGGGCGUAAAGCGAGCGCAGGCGGUUUCUUAAGUCUGAUGUGAAAGCCCCCGGCUCAACCGGGGAGGGUCAUUGGAAACUGGGAGACUUGAGUGUAGAAGAGGAGAGUGGAAUUCCAUGUGUAGCGGUGAAAUGCGUAGAUAUAUGGAGGAACACCAGUGGCGAAGGCGGCUCUCUGGUCUGUAACUGACGCUGAGGCUCGAAAGCGUGGGGCGCAAACAGG